rnacentral:misc_RNA from 1 species
UAUUAUUCAAGAAGAAUGCCAAUUUCAAACCAGCUAUAUGUACCCCAAUGACUUCCCCCCAGUUUACCGGAAGUUGAUAACGCGCCACAGCACAGCAAGGCAUGGUCUGAAUUUUCAGAAAUUAUCCGUAAAUGGCAAACAACAGAGUAUUGCAAUGGGCAACGUUUGCUCGCACAUGGUGGAUAUAUGAUGCUAACUGCCAGUGCCCCCUCAAGUCAGCCAAAGUCCUGGUGCCCCAUCUCCAGGGGAAGCACAAGCCGAUAUAUCACCCACUGAGUGAUAUCGGUGACCAUGUUGUUGUCAUUAACACAAAGCACAUCGCCAUGAAGGGAGACUACUGGAGGAAGUGGCGGUAUCAUCAUCACACAGGGCAUGGGGGCGGCUACACUGCCACGUCAGCAUGGAGACUACACCAGCUGGAUGCCACAAAGGUCGUGUACAAAGCUGUGUACAGCCGUCUCCCCGGCAACCUGCUCAGACACACCCUGAUGAGGAGACUGCAUCUUUUUGAAGAGGAGAAUGUCCCUGAGGAGAUCCUGGCAAAUGUUACCGGUCAGAUCCGUCAAGUGAUGCCGGUGCCAAAACGAUAUGAUGAAUACACAGAGGAGGAAAGGAGAACAUUCCCAAGACUGUUUGACUGGCCUGAAGAUCAUGUACUGGACCUCGGCAAGAAGAAGAAUGACCCAGUGUAGUGGGAGCUGUCAUGUAGGAUAUAACUACAAGGAAAUGUGGACACCUUGCGGCUGAAACAUGGAUACAGAUCCCCUUGGUCCGUCUGAGUGUCUAGUGGGGUGUGGACGUAUGCAGCAUAUAUGACACAUUGAUUGUGACUGUGAUAACCCCUCUGAAAACAUGUGGACCUUGUGUGGAAUCUUAUAUGUCAUAUUCAUGUGCGUGUUUGUGUGUAGAAAUAACUGAGAAACUGUAUGUGUGUUAUAGUAAAUAAACCAGAUGUUGACAUGUUACAAGAAGCUGUGUGUGUGUUAUAGGAAAUAAACCAGCUGUUUACAAGGCGUCCUUGCAAGAAGCUCUGUGUGUGUUAUAGGAAAUAAAACAAUUGUUUACAAGGCAUCCUUGCAAGAAGCUGUGUGUGUGUUAUAGGAAAUAAACCAGCUGUUUACAAGGCGUCUUUGCAAGAAGCUGUAUGUGUGUUAUAGGAAAUAAACUAGCUGUUUACGAAGCGUUCUUGCAAGAAGCUGUAUGUGUGUUAUAGGAAAUAAAACAGCUGUUCACAAGGCGUCCUUGCUAGAAGCUGUGUUUGUGUUAUAGGAAAUAAAACAUGUUUACAAGG